rnacentral:miRNA from 2 species
UUUGGAUUGAAAGGAGCUCUU